CGAGGGGUUCAGGUUUUCGGACCUAGAGACCGGCGCACGGGUGCGUAACGCGUAUGCAAUCUACCUUUUACAGAGGGAUAGCCCAGAGAAAUUUGGAUUAAUACCUCAUAGUAUUACGACUCGGCAUCGAGAUGUAAUUAAAGUCACAACGGUAAAAGAUGAGCAUGCGUCCCAUUAGCUAGUUGGUAAGGUAACGGCUUACCAAGGCAACGAUGGGUAGGGGUCCUGAGAGGGAGAUCCCCCACACUGGUACUGAGACACGGACCAGACUCCUACGGGAGGCAGCAGUGAGGAAUAUUGGUCAAUGGGCGCAAGCCUGAACCAGCCAUGCCGCGUGCAGGAUGAAGCAUCUAUGGUGUGUAAACUGCUUUUGUACGAGAAGAAACACUCCUUCGUGAAGGAGCUUGACGGUAUCGUAAGAAUAAGGACCGGCUAACUCCGUGCCAGCAGCCGCGGUAAUACGGAGGGUCCAAGCGUUAUCCGGAAUCAUUGGGUUUAAAGGGUCCGUAGGCGGUUUUGUAAGUCAGUGGUGAAAGCCCAUCGCUCAACGGUGGAACGGCCAUUGAUACUGCAAGACUUGAAUUAUUGGGAAGUAACUAGAAUAUGUAGUGUAGCGGUGAAAUGCUUAGAGAUUACAUGGAAUACCAAUUGCGAAGGCAGGUUACUACCAAUAUAUUGACGCUGAUGGACGAAAGCGUGNGGAGCGAACAGGAUUAGAUACCCUGGUAGUCCACGCCGUANACGAUGGAUACUAGCUGUUCGGAGCAAUCUGAGUGGCUAAGCGAAAGUGAUAAGUAUCCCACCUGGGGAGUACGUUCGCAAGAAUGAAACUCAAAGGAAUUGACGGGGGCCCGCACAAGCGGUGGAGCAUGUGGU
rnacentral:rRNA from 1 species